AUUUAAUGGCAAAUAUGUAAUAUUGAAAACUUUUUAAUUACACCACUGUAUAGAUUAUUUUCGUUUCAGGCUUCAUCUUUCUUUCUCACUCUCGCCGUAGUGGGGAAGACCAUCGCAGAUCUUCGACGCCUCGUCUCCUACGUUCUUGGCUUCUACAAAAUCUCCGACGAGAUCCUCGUCAACACCGUCGACAACAAACAGCGAGAUCCUCCAUGGCAAUCCUCAAGGUCACCAUCGAUGCCAAGCGGAACACCAUAUCUGUCUUCAACAACGGCGAUGCCAUAGCCGUCGAGAUCCCCAAACUCAUUUGCGGCCACUUUCUCACUGACAGCAACGAUGACGACAAGGUCAAGAAGACCACCGGUGGACGCAACGGCUACAGUGCGAAUCUCACCAACAUCUUCUCCACCAAGUUCAUCAUCAAAAUCGCCGACGGAAAGCGUAAGAAGAAAUAUAAACAGUCCUAGGGUUUUCCACCUACAGCUCCCUCCCACACGCCACCGCUUCCUUCCAUCUCAGGGCUUUGUCUACCUCCGUCACCGAUAAGCCCUCCGUUUGCACAGCCGACGAACUCCAUUAUGUCUCCCUCUCAAAUUUCGAUUAGAAACUCGCUCUCUGGAACUAUAACCUUUCACUUCUCGGAGUCAAUCAGGCAACAGUGGCAAAGCUAGGUUCACUGUGGACAACCCUGUCACCCUAGUGGCUGGAAAGAACACAAAUGAUCUCUUGAGUUUAACUGUGGAACUUCAGAACUAUGGAGCAUUUUUUGACUUAUCAGGAGCGGGGAUCACUCGUCCAGUGGUACUGAAAGGUUUGGAGAAUGCCAAUACACUUGAUCUCUCCUCCCAGAAGUGGACAUAUCAAGUUCUUGUCGAAUGGGUUGGCUUGGCCGUCUUAUUUUCUUCCAUCCAGCCUAAAGUUUGAAUCUCCCCACGCCUAAGCCAUUUUUCUGUUGUAUAACUUCAUUAGUUUUAUGUGUUUGGUGUCCACUUUGAUUUAGAAUUGUGUUGAUUAUGAAAUGAUUAUAUGUUGAUUAUGAAAUAAUGUUUUCUAUGGAUACUUGUGAUGUUCACUUAAUGGAAUGAAUACACACUUCUGCACCUUUGUAGGGACUUAAUCAAAAAAAUUUAAAAGCUAUGGAACUGGAGGAAAACAAUGUUAUGUAAGGCUAAAGUAAUUGAUUGAAAAAGAUCAAAUAUUUCAUAAAAGCCUUUACAGAGAUUGCACUUUGUUUCAUUGAAGCUCGUUUGAAAAUCUAGUAUGUGAGAUAUCAGUUUAUCAUUAUGAGUUAUAUAUUCAUAUUUACUAAUGUUUUCCCUAGGAUAGUCAUUAUGCUUAUAUGCUUGAUACGGUUCUGAUAUGAAAAAGAAAAGGUAGUCUAUCUUCUAUUUCACAUUACUUUGGGAAGAGAAUCAAGUAUUCAAGAAAGUUGUUGAGAAAAACAGUGAAGAAAAUUUUAUUCUUCAUGAUGGCCCUCCAUAUGGUAAAGGCGAUCUUCACAUAGGGCAUGCCUUAAAUAAAAUUUUGAAAGAUAUUAUUAAUCGUUAUAAGCUGAACAGGAAAUGAACAUUCACUUGGUUUAAAGCAGGAGGACCAUCUUAUGCAGUAGAGCUGGGAAGGCUAGAUAGGAGAGUUUCAACAAAAGGAAGUGUUAGACACCAUAUACCUCAUCCUGAUUUCUAAGACCUUAUUCUCUUGUAAGUUGUGAAAAUUUUUAAAAAUAAAGCUUUUGAAGAUUACUUUAAAUUGAUAAUGUUCUACUAAGUCAAAAAUUGCCUUACCCAUUAUGAUAGGAAACGUAUAGGAGGGAAAUAGAAAGUUUUCUAACCUAUUUUCUCAAAAUAUCAGGAGUAUCUCGUCAGUGUUAACCCUAUUUGGAUGUUGCAACAGAGAUAAGUUAUUUCUUCAAAGAUUUGUGUUCUACAACAUUGAACGAGAUGACCUAGUGAAGAUGGAAGAAAACAUUCCAAAUCAUUCUGUACAAGAUGGAGAGAAUAUUUUCUCCCUCAUUCUUUGAUUCUAUGGAACAUCUCUUUAUCCAUCUUCCAUAUGAUAUCCAUGCACCAAUUUGAGUGGAACAUAUUUUCUAUGGAACAUAUUUUCAAGUUGGGAAUGUGUGAUAUCCAUGUACCAACUUGAGUUGGGGUGUUAAGAUAUGUCAAAUAUUCUAUUAAGGGAUAUUAGGCAAUCAAAUAUUGUUAGUUAUAAUUUAGAUAUUAUUAUAAUUUGUGCAGAUUUGUACACCUAUCAUUCCUUUGAUAUAUGAAGGAUUAUACGA